AAAGGAAGUUAGCUCGGGAAUCUCUGUGUACAAACGUGAAUCACAACAAGCAGGGGGGAAGGUCUGAGGAGCCAGACAAGACUGAAAGGUCGAGUGUAGUAAAUACACAAAACGUCCAUCAGAAAACAGUCCGUGGACAUGAAAGCGGCGUUAUGGCCAUCUUUUUCUUUAGUCAAAUUCCCUUGACCACCGGCAACUCAAUUCAGACUACUCAACUUCCUUU
rnacentral:RNase_P_RNA from 2 species